rnacentral:lncRNA from 1 species
UCUCUCUUCUCUUAUCUUCUCUUCUUCUUCUCCUCCCUUCUCUUCAUCUUUUUUUCUCUUCUCUUCACUUCUUCUUCUUUCUCCUUUGUCUUCUCUCUCAAUCUCCCUUCUUUUUUCUCCCUUUUCUCUCUUCUCUCUUAUCUCUCCAAUCUUCCUCUUCUUUUUUUUCUUUCUUCUCUCUUAUCUCUUCUCACUCUCUCUUCUCUUCUCUUCUUUUCUCCUUCUCUCUUCUUUUAUCUCUCUGCUCCUCUCUCUCUUU